UGCGAAAUUCCUGGACCAGACGGUGAGAGAGCGCCUCCUCAAAACUUUCAAGGUCUUCAUCUUGUUUGUGGUCUUCCUGGUGAUCGCUUCUAUAAUUUUGAGCAUAUUAGGGGAGUUGUAGAGAGAGGAGUCCGAUGUUAGUCAUUGUGCGUUUAUAGGUUAAUUCCAGGGGAGCAACUUUCACUGGACACAUUCUGAAAUUGCAUUUUUAGUAAAUAAAAUAGUUGAAAUAUUUUUAUAAAUAGUAAAAUAGUUAUGUUACAAAUGGUAUGUUAUUAGGCCUAUUUGUAAUAGAUUAUAUAUUAUCUGUUUAAAAACAUGAAUUUACAUGAAUGACACCUUUCUUUCUGUGAUUAUUUUCAGUACAAAUCAAAGAAGAAAGGAAGACAAAAGAGCCAACUUGUCUUGUCGUUGUUUCAGCAAAAAUUGGAUGUCAUCUCGUGGGAGUUUGACUCCGAACACUCAAAACGAUCUCGUCCAGACCAGACAACUUGGGACAAUUUGGUCCGGACCCCUUUGGAUCCGGAGCAGGACGCGACCACGUCCCCGCCGGGACUAUCGCUGAGAAAACGGUGUCCCAGAUCCUGCAAAGUCUUCAGCGUCAUCCUAGUGGUUUCCCUGGUCAUCACUUUGACCGUUUUGGCAAUUUUAGGGAAGUUGUAGAAAUAGUAGUCAUUGUAGCCCUUGUGCUGCUGCUGUGUGUCCAUCAGGGUUGGGGUCAGGAAGUAAACUGAAAUUCAAAUUGUCAUUUUUCUUAGCGGAAAAGCUUUGAUGAAAUUGACCCCAACCCUGAGGUCCAUCGAUAAUUUCUCAGGGGUAAAUGAAAUCGUUUUAUUAUUAUGUUUCAUGAUUAUUUUAACUCAAUUCUUAUAGCACAUUACUCUUGUAUUUGUCUUUCUGCACUCGCACUUGUUUUUCUCACUGGCACGGAUUUUCCUUGCAAUGACUGUGAUAUGUGGUUGUCUUUACCUUCCUUAGUUGAAUGUGUAGCAAUAUUGAUGUUACUCAUAUUGAUGUUACACAGGAAACGGAAACCAGUUGCUUACUUUAUUAAUGUGCUGGUUGACAACAUGCCUCGUAAAGUUUGCUUAACUAUACAUCUUUGUCUGUCGUGACUACAACACAAAGCAUAUUGAAACAGGAUGCAUUGACUGUAAGUCACUUUGGAUAGGAGUGUCGGCUAAAUGACUAAAAUGUGAAAUGUAAUGUUACCUUUUUUAUCUUUUUUUUUAUCAAUAAGAUAUUAUCAGAUUUGUUAUGUGACGAUUUAGAAUAAAAUGCAAAGAAGAC
ensembl:lncRNA